rnacentral:rRNA from 1 species
UACGGAGGGUGCGAGCGUUGUCCGGAAUCACUGGGCGUAAAGGGCGCGUAGGUGGCCCGUCAAGCGCGCGGUGAAAGCCCGGGGCUCAACCCCGGGUCGGCCGUGCGGACUGGCGGGCUCGAGCACUGUAGGGGCGGGUGGAAUUCCGGGUGUAGCGGUGGAAUGCGUAGAGAUCAGGAGGAAUACCGGUGGCGAAAGCGACUCUCUGGACGGCAACUGACGCUGAGGCACAAAAGCGUGGGGAGCAAACAGG